rnacentral:snoRNA from 18 species
UCGAGUGAUGAAUUAACAAAAACAAAAGCUGGAAUUACUGGCUGAAUUUAUCUGUGUUGAUACGUUUUUGCACUACUCUGACU